UACGGAGGGUGCGAGCGUUGUUCGGAGUCACUGGGCGUAAAGCGCGUGUAGGCGGCUCGAUAAGUCUGGUGUGAAAGCCCGGGGCUCACCCCCGGAAGUGCAUCGGAUACUGUCGAGCUCGAGUCUCGGAGAGGAGAGUGGAAUUCCUGGUGUAGCGGUGAAAUGCGUAGAUAUCGGGAAGAACACCCGUGGCGAAGGCGGCUCUCUGGGACGGUACUGACGUUGAGACGCGAAAGCGUGGGGAGCGAACAGG
rnacentral:rRNA from 1 species